CGUUGUUUGCUGUAUGUCAAUAUUUUGGUCUCAAUUUUUUGGAUUUUUUGAUGGAAAAAGUUAUUUUUCUGUAUAUUAUUUGAGUGUAUUCUGUUCCUUAGGGCCUGUUUAAUCUCUUGAAAAUGAGAGCUUUAUAACAAUAAAUAAACAUAUAUUAUAUAAAGAUCAUCACCCAAAAGAAGAGACAUAUGGAUCUUUCCCUAUAGCUAUAAUCCUGUUGUUUGACCAUCAUUCUGGUUUAUGAGAUUGGUCUUCAAAUAUCUGGUUAAAAAUUUUGGUCAACAAAUCGAUGGAUGCAUACAGUUCGAUCCAGGGCAUUUAUCCUUUUCAUGAACAUUAUCAACAAUGCAUCAGGACUUAUAAAGUUUGUACAACAAAUCGAUGGAUGUAUACAGUUCCAGGGCAGUACAUUUAUCCUUUUUAAGAAUAUUGCCACCAUAUUAUGGCAUCAGCACUUAUGUAAAUAUAUCAAAAAUUUAUUUCUUUUGGGUAACUAUAUUUACAUUGGUUUUUAUUGUUCAUCAGUGGAUUUCAUGAUUUCUAAAUUUAAUAAAGUAGGAAAAAAAUUCCAAUGAGUCUCUGAGUUACAUUUUUAUGGUUCCUUAUUUUCAUAGAAAAAUUCAGUCCAUCUAUUUUUGAGUUUGGGCUAAUUUUUGGCUUUGGUUUUUUUUUCUUUUUGGUAUAGUAUCUACUUAGAACUUUACUUGCUGGCGUACAUCAAGAUGUUUUUUUUUUAUUUUGUGAUCGUUGUUUUCUUUAUUUAUUGCCGUUUUUCUGUAAUAGCUGGCCUUCCAUAUUUUCUUGAUGGUGGACAAAAAAUAAUCUCAUCAUUUAUUAUUUCUAUAACAUAUUCCAUUAACUGUAUUUCUUAUUUUUUAUUUCCUUGAUAAAAUAUACCAUAUACCAUCUAUUUGCAUUUUACUUUAUUUUGUUUAUGGUUAACUUUCCUUUUUCUAUAAUAACUUGACUCCCAUAUUUUUUUAAUUGUGUAAAUAACUUAUACAGGGUUGUUCACCACA
rnacentral:lncRNA from 1 species